rnacentral:rRNA from 1 species
GCUAAUAAUAAAAUACCACAAACAUACUAUUAUUAACCUAAACAAAACAUUUGACAAACCAAGUAGAUGUGAUCGAACAGUAAAACUUAACACUCUAGUACCGCAAGGGAAACAUUUAAAGCAACAAAAAGCAAAGAUUAAACCUUGUACCUUUCGCAUCAUGGUCUAGCAAGAAACCAAAGACAAGAAGAAUCAUAGCCUCCACCCCGAAACCAGAUGAGCUACUUUAUAGCAGCCUAACGGGCACACCCUUCUCUGUAGCAAAAGAGUGGGAAGACUAAAAAGUAGAUGUGAAACGCUUACCGAAUCUGGAGAUAGCUGGCUACCCAACAAAAGAAUAUAAGUUCAACCUUAGACCAAAACAAUAACAACUUAUAACCUAAGGUUAGUCAAUAGGGGUACAGCCCUAUUGAAACAGGAUACAACCUGAAUUUGAGAGGAAUUUAAACUUACACCCCAGUAGGCCUUAAAGCAGCCACCUAACAAAAUAUCGUUAAAGAAUUCUACUUACAAUCCCAAAAAUAACAAAAAACUCCAAACCAAUUAAAGGUAGACCCAUAAUCAUGGGUAUUAUUAUGCUAGAACUAAUAAUAAGACAACCUCUCUUUAUGCACCUAUCCACUAGAACGGAUAAACCACUAGUAAUCAACAGACCAAAAUAGGAACAAACUAAACCAAUACACACCACAAAACAAACUGUGAACCCAACACAGGAGCAUUAAAAAGAAAGAUUAAACAUUAUAAAAGGAACUCGGCAAACACAAACCCCAACUGUUUAACAAAAACAUAACCUUUAGCCAAACAAAUAUUAAAGGCAACGCCUGCCCAGUGAACAAUUAAACGGCCGCGGUACCCUAACCGUGCAAAGGUAGCGUAAUCAUUUGUCUACUAAUUAUAGACCUGUAUGAAAGGCAAAAUGAGGGUUUAGCUGUCUCUUAUAAUAAAUCAAUUAAACUGAUCUCCCAGUACAAAAGCUGGGAUUCCAACAUAAGACCAGAAGACCCUGUGAAGCUUAAACUAAACUAUUAAAACACAUAAUAGCUACUUUCGGUUGGGGCGACCUUGGAAAAAAAAAGAACUUCCAAACAUAAUGACCUAAAUCACACUAACAGGCCAACAAGCCACUAAAAGACCCAGUAAAACUGAUAAAUGAACCAAGUUACUCCAGGGAUAACAGCGCAAUCUUCUUCAAGAGCCCAUAUCAAAAAGAAGGUUUACGACCUCGAUGUUGGAUCAGGACAUCCUAAUGGUGCAGCCGCUAUUAAGGGUUCGUUUGUUCAACGAUUAAUAGUCCUACGUGAUCUGAGUUCAGACCGGAGCAAUCCAGGUCGGUUUCUAUCUAUGAACAUGUCUUACCCAGUACGAAAGGACCGGUAAGACAAAGCCAAUACUACAAGCACGCUUUAACAAAAGAUAUACCACAACAUCACAUAAAAAUUCAUAAACCAAGACAAGGUUAAUUAAGGACCACCCUUAA